GUCCAGAGACAGUUAUCGAUCAACACAGACAGGAGUGCAACUGUGCAACGUAAAUAAGGAAACAACACCAAGGAAACAAAGUACCCUCAAAGUUUGCCAUCUGAGAUGGAUACUCGUCUCAGCAAAAGGGCACAUGGGGUGAUGAAGGCUGAGGAAGCUAAGGAAGUAGAGGAGGAGAUGAACAAGGAACAGACAGAAGAUGAGACAGAGGUCCCUAUUCGAAGAUAUAAGAAAAAGAAGCCAGUCAAAUAUUCCCCGAAAAAACCGAUGUCUCCAACAGGGGCAUUGGAGUUGGCCAAACUGAAACAACAAAAUAAGAUGGAUCGGCAGAAGAUUGAACACCUUGAGGACCGCAUUAAGUACCUGGAGGAGGCCAACAGGGAUCUAAAAAAUGACAAGGACUUCUUACUUUCCCAAAUUAAGGGAGCCACCAACACACCUGCAUCUACUGGGAAAGGCUCUGGAAAGACUGCUCUGGAACCUGCUUCAUCUUCAACUUCGACAUCCCCCUGUCCUUCCUCAGACUCCAGCUUCUCAUCAUCCUCAGAAGAAGAGGAAAAGAAGAAAAAGAAAAAG
rnacentral:lncRNA from 1 species